rnacentral:rRNA from 1 species
UACAGAGGUCCCAAGCGUUGUUCGGAUUCACUGGGCGUAAAGGGUGCGUAGGUGGUGAGGUAAGUCGGAUGUGAAAUCUCGGAGCUCAACUCCGAAAUGGCAUUGGAAACUACCUUGCUCGAGGGAUGGAGGGGGGACUGGAAUUCUCGGUGUAGCAGUGAAAUGCGUAGAUAUCGAGAGGAACACCAGUGGCGAAGGCGGCCUUCUGGGUCCGCCCUGACGCUGAGGCGCGAAAGCGUGGGGAGCGAACGGG